GUGGAGCAAUUGUACUUCAAUGAUCCAGUAUCUGGAAUUGUCUUUUUUGAACGAGUUCCCAUGAGAUGUAGCCACGUACGUAACUACAUUUAAAAGAACAUUUUAAUUUAUGCACUUAAUAGCCACGUACGACUCAAUUUUCCUUAAAGGGCAGUUGAAAAUGUACAAUUUCAUGUAGGAUUUGUAGAGCAAUUGUACUUCAAUGAUCCAGUAUCUGGAAUUGUCUUUUUUGAACGAGUUCCCAUGAGAUGUAGCCACGUACGUAACUACAUUUAAAAGAACAUUUUAAUUUAUGCACUUAAUAGCCACGUACGACUCAAUUGUCCUUAAAGGGCAGUUGAAAAUGUACAAUUUCAUGUAGGAUUUG